UCGGACGUGGUGUAUGGUGCACACCCGCUUUUCGUAUCAGGUCGCACAUGAAAAGAGUUAAAGCGGGAGGCUUGGGUUCGACUCCCAGCGUCCAAA